rnacentral:rRNA from 1 species
AAGGCUGAAAUUCGCCUUCAUGAAGCCGGAAUUGCUAGUAAUGGCAGGUCAGCAUACUGCCGUGAAUACGUUCCCGGGCCUUGUACACACCGCCCGUCACACCAUGAGAGUUGGAGAUACCCGAAGCCUGUGAGCUAACAAACGAGGCGGCAGUCGAAGGCAGAAUCAAUGAUUGGGGUGAAGUCGUAACAAGGUAAC